rnacentral:rRNA from 1 species
GCCGCGUGAGUGACGAAGGCCUUAGGGUCGUAAAGCUCUUUCACCGGGGAAGAUAAUGACGGUACCCGGAGAAGAAACCCCGGCUAACUCCGUGCCAGCAGCCGCGGUAAUACGGAGGGGGUUAGCGUUGUUCGGAAUUACUGGGCGUAAAGCGCGCGUAGGCGGAUUGGAAAGUUGGGGGUGAAAUCCCAGGGCUCAACCCUGGAACUGCCUUCAAAACUAACAGUCUAGAGUUCUGGAGAGGUGAGUGGAAUUCCGAGUGUAGAGGUGAAAUUCGUAGAUAUUCGGAGGAACACCAGUGGCGAAGGCGGCUCACUGGCCAGAUACUGACGCUGAGGUGCGAAAGUGUGGGGAGCAAACAGGAUUAGAUACCCUGGUAGUCCACACCGUAAACGAUGAAUGCCAGUCGUCGGGCAGCAUGCUGUUCGGUGACACACCUAACGGAUUAAGCAUUCCGCCUGGGGAGUACGGCCGCAAGGUUAAAACUCAAAGGAAUUGACGG